rnacentral:tRNA from 1 species
UGGCUCAGUAGUAGAGCGUUUGCCUACCAUGCAUGAGGUCCUGAGUUUGAUCCUCAG